rnacentral:rRNA from 1 species
UGGGGAAUAUUGGGCAAUGGGCGCAAGCCUGACCCAGCAACGCCGCGUGAAGGAAGAAGGCUUUCGGGUUGUAAACUUCUUUUAAGAGGGAAGAGUAGAAGACGGUACC